rnacentral:rRNA from 1 species
AGAGUUUGAUCCUGGCUCAGGACGAACGCUGGCGGUGUGCUUCACACAUGCAAGUCGAACGAGGUAGCAAUACCUAGUGGCGGACGGGUGAGUAACGCGUGGGAAUCUGCCUUUAGAUGGGGGAUAACGAGCCGAAAGGUUCGCUAAUACCGCAUAGGUCGCAAGAUUAAAGGAGUAAUCCGUCUAGAGAUGAGCCCGCGUCCGAUUAGCUAGUUGGUAGGGUAAAGGCCUACCAAGGCGACGAUCGGUAGCUGGUCUGAGAGGAUGAUCAGCCACAAUGGGACUGAGACACGGCCCAUACUCCUACGGGAGGCAGCAGUGGGGAAUUUUACGCAAUGGGCGAAAGCCUGACGUAGCGACACCGCGUGAGCGAAGAAGCCCUUUGGGGUGUAAAGCUCUGUCGGCUGGAACGAAAAAAAUGACGGUACCAGCAAAGGAAGCAUCGGCUAACUACGUGCCAGCAGCCGCGGUAAGACGUAGGAUGCGAGCGUUGUCCGGAUUUAUUGGGCGUAAAGAGUUCGUAGGUGGCUUGUCAAGUUUGAUGUUAAAGAUCGGGGCUCAACCCUGGGACUGCAUUGAAUACUGGCAGGCUUGAGUGUGGUAGAGGCUAGUGGAAUUCCCAGUGUAGCGGUGAAAUGCGUAGA